rnacentral:lncRNA from 1 species
AACCCUUGUUAAUUAAUUGCGUCCUGCCCUGAAAAGUAAACCGUGAGCAAAUGGGGAUGGAUGUUACGGUGGUAAUGACCAGCAAUUAUUUUUUCCAGGGAAACGUUGAGAGGCACCUGAGCAACUUUGGCACGGGGUGUAUAUUUUGAAGUAAUGACUGAUGAAAGAGGAGGAGUAUCAGUGCAUUUCAAGGAGCAAAGUGUGAAGGAUUUUCAGCCUGAUCUCAGGAAGUGCUACAACAGGGACAUGACAGAGACCUGGUGUUCUCCUGGCCCAGAUUCCUCAUCUGAAUGUAACCAGUGGGCUGUGCACUAGUAAAGUAUUACUAUCUUCCUUAGCAGGCAGUAUGAGUGCAGUUUUUCUACUUACCCAUGUGGGACAAAGGCUGCAAAAAUUCAACUUGUCAUCAAGGCAGAAGGUAAGUGGUUAAUCUUAAAAGUCUUUCAUAAAAGUGGAAAGAGGAAGGAUAACCGGGAUAGACAAAAUUUUGUUGGUCAGUGUCAGUGGCCUUUUUUGAGGUUUGCAAGGGUGCCACUGAAUGCUCUCUCAGGCUCUUGUUAGCUGUUAACCAGCUCAUGAUUAGGAAAUCUUAUUUUUUUGGAGAAAUGUGAAGUAAGAUUGAAAUGCACAAAAGGUGGUCAGGUGGACAGUGUCUAUAUUUUCAUUUUGGUGAAACAUGAUGGGGAGAAGCCUGGGCAAGUGAUUUGAGGUAUGGUGGGACCAAAGCCAUCAGCUUUUCAAACAACAUGGUGCCUCUGCCGUGCUGCACUGAGGACUAGGAAGAGAAAAUGCCCUUGUCUGGUUGAGGCUGAGAACUGAACUUUGUGAAGCAGAACAUCAUUUAAGACGCCCACAGGGCCAGAGAUUUGGCUUCUUUUGUCAGACAGAAGGAAGCUGGAAAACAACAUUAAGUAAUCCCUAGGGGAGAAUGUGAACAGGGAUGAUAUUUAAACAUGCUUGUAAAGGAGCAAAUGGUUUUAAGUAGGACAUGAGUGGAUUUAGCUACAAAUUAAACAACAAUUGUGUCUUCUGGCCAGCAGUGAGGGCAAAGAGUCUAAAUUGAUAAGAAGACAGAGCUGGGCAAAGAUGUUGGCUGAACAGGGCAAUCUUGUGUCAGUGCUCAAGAUUCUGAUGACCCCAGAAACCUCUUUCAGGCCCAGGUUUCUGUUAGCAAGCUGAGAAUAAAACUGAUGCAAAAAAACUUGGCA